rnacentral:rRNA from 1 species
UGGGGGAUAUUGCACAAUGGGCGAAAGCCUGAUGCAGCGACGCCGCGUGGGGGAUGAAGGCCUUCGGGUUGUAAACUUCUUUUGCUCUGAACAAGGCAUGCUAAUGGGUGUGUUGAGUGUAGGGGUUGAUUAGCGCCGGCUAACUACGUGCCAGCAGCCGCGGUAAUACGUAGGGCGCGAGCGUUGUCCGGAAUUAUUGGGCGUAAAGGGCUUGUAGGUGGCUGGUUGCGUCUGUCGUGAAAGCUCAUGGCUUAACUGUGGGAUUGCGGUGGGUACGGGCUGGCUUGAGUGCAGUAGGGGAGGCUGGAAUUCCUGGUGUAGCGGUGGAAUGCGCAGAUAUCAAGAGGAAUACCGGUGGCGAAGGCGGGUCUCUGGGCUGUUACUGACACUGAGGAGCGAAAGCAUGGGGAGCGAACAGG